rnacentral:rRNA from 1 species
GAUGAACGCUAGCGGCAGGCUUAAUACAUGCAAGUCGAGGGGCAGCAUGAUUGUAGCAAUACAAUUGAUGGCGACCGGCAAACGGGUGCGGAACACGUACACAACCUCCCAAUAAGUGGGGAAUAGCCCAGAGAAAUUUGGAUUAAUACCCCGUAACAUAACGAUGUGGCAUCACAUUGUUAUUAUAGAUUUUUCGCUUAUUGAUGGGUGUGCGGCUGAUUAGAUAGUUGGCGGGGUAACGGCCCACCAAGUCUACGAUCAGUAGCUGAUGUGAGAGCAUGAUCAGCCACACGGGCACUGAGACACGGGCCCGACUCCUACGGGAGGCAGCAGUAAGGAAUAUUGGACAAUGGACGCAAGUCUGAUCCAGCCAUGCCGCGUGAAGGAUUAAGGUCCUCUGGAUUGUAAACUUCUUUUAUAAGGGACGAAAAAAGGCUUUUCUAAGUCGUCUGACGGUACCUUAUGAAUAAGCACCGGCUAACUCCGUGCCAGCAGCCGCGGUAAAAC